CAGCUCAGCAUUCAACACCAUAGUGCCCUCAAAUCUCAUCACUAAGCGUAAGGACCCUGGGACAAAACAGAGGGUAGUGCGUACGGCCCAGUAUAUCACUGAGGCCAAGCUUCCUGCCACCCAGGACCUCUCUAUACCAGGUGUGUAUAAAAAUGUCAAAGACUCCAGCCAUCCUAGUCAUAGACUGUUCUCUCUCUGCUACCGAAUGGCAAACACUACCGGACCGCCACGUCUAGGUCCAAAAGACUUCUUAACAGCUUCCACCCCCAAGCCAUGAGACUCCUGAACAGCUUCCACCCCCAAGCCAUGAGACUCCUGAACAGCUUCCACCCCCCAAGCCAUGAGACUCCUGAACAGCCUUCCACCCCCAAGCCAUGAGACUCCUGAACAGCUUCCACCCCCCAAGCCAUGAGACUCCUGAACAGCUUCCACCCCCAAGCCAUGAGACUCCUGAACAGCUUCCACCCCC
ensembl:lncRNA